CGGAGCAGCACCAUGUCGGCGCCCGCGGCCAAAGUCAAUAAAAAGGAGCUCAACUCCAACCACUACGGGGCCGACGAGACCUCAGAAAAAGAACAGCAAGAAGCAAUUGAACAUGUUGAUGAAGUACAAAAUGAAAUAGACAGACUUAUCGAACAAGCCAGUGAGGAGAUUCUGUGCUACUUUGAAAGUAGAACAGAAAUAUAGCACACUCCACCAACCAUUUUUUCAGAAGAGGUCGGAAUUGAUCGCCCAAAUCCCAAAUUUUGGGGGAGCAACGUUUGCUAACCAUCCACAAGUGUCUGCACUGCUUGGGGAUGAGGAUGAAGAGGCGCUGCGUUAUUUGACAAGGGUCGAAGUGACAGAAUUUGAAGAUAUUAAAUCAGGUUACAGAAUAGAUUUUUAUUUUGAUGAAAACCCUUAACUUUGAAAAUAAAGUUCUCUCCAAAGAAUUUCAUCUGAAUGAGAGUGGUGAUCCAUCUUCAAAGUCCACUGAAAUCAAAUGGAAAUCCGGAAAGGAUUUGACAAAACGUUCAAGUCAAAUGCAGAAUAAAGCCAGCAGGAAGAGACAGCGUGAGGACCCAGAAAGCUGCUUCACCUGGUUUACUGAUCAUUCUGAUGCAGGUGCAGAUGAGUUAGGAGAGGUCAUCAAAGAUGAUAUUUGGCCAAAUCCAUUACAAUACGACUUGGUUCCGGACAUGGAUGAUGAGGAAGGGGAAGGAAAAGUUGAUGAUGAUGAUGAUGAAGAGGAAGGAGGAUUGGAAGAUAUUGAUAAAGAAGGGGAUGGGGAUGAAGGUGAAGAAGAUGCAGAUGAUGACGAGGGGGAGGAAGGAGAGGAAGAUAAAGAAGAUGACUAAUGGGACACUGAUGGAUUCCAACCUUUUUAAAUUUUCUCCAGUCCCUGGGUGCAAGUUGCAGUCUUUUUUUUUUUUUUUUUUUUUUCCUCCUUCUCCUCUUGUGCUCAGUU